AUUUUUUUUCAUUUCACAGAAUAUACCAUAUGAUUUCCUCUUCUAUAUAAUUAAAGAAAGUAAUUAGAAAAUUUUCUAUCCAAUCAAAUAAAGUUAGAGAAACUGAUUCAAAAUGGAAAACUUCCUUGAAUUUGAGGUGGACAUACAUAGUGAGAGUGAAGUGAUGGUAGCUUUGGUAAAAGUUGAUAACGAAAAAUAAACGACAAGCACUAGAGUCAGUUAGAUGCAAUAGACACCAACAUAGUUAAGAGAAUCCAAUAAACAAUUGAAAUAUUUGGAUAACAAUUUAUGAUUUUGACAAACUCAAGAAUUUCAUAUGCCGACAUCAACACAUUUGAUAAAGAGAUUUGCAGCAUUUUCAUUUAUGAAAAAGAUCAUUUGCAUCAACAUCCGACAAAUCCUUAUGAGAAAACUAAACAUCAAAGUCUGUAUAAGGUCAGUCUUCUUCUUCGUAUGUCUCAAAUACGACUCUGACGUUGCCAUCUCUGUUAACGACGUUGGUUGCCGGUCCUUUAACGGUAGGCGAGUACAUAUUUCGGUAAUCAAUUUUUAUUCACUCAACUUCUCUCCUUUCAUUCGUUUUGAACAAAGAAUGUAAACACAUAGGGCCAACAAAUAGUGUUAGAUUAGGAGCUUGUUCACAUCUAAGGUAAAAACUUUAAUCACAAGGGAUAUUCUAAUCAUUAAUACUAGGUUCCACCAAUUAAUAAAUGUGCAUGUGUAGUUUAACAUUUAAGCCUAGUGUCAGUGUUAAGAGGUAUAUAUAUAGGUGGAAUGUAGUAGCAAGUUGCUGGUGUACAAUACUAUAAUGCAGUAGUACUUACUGGUUGUUUGGUAGAUAGAUACUUUAAAGAGUUUGCUUAGCCCACUGGGUGGUUGUUGUUGAUAGUUGGUGAGCUGCGGUAGAAUAUUGUUUGUUGUUAGUUAGUUAUACAGAAAAAAUGUUACAUAAUUUUUGCACAGAUCCGAAUCUUAUCUUAAAUGUAUAUACGUGGUUUUUAUUUUCUGAGUUUGUAUUUAGACCAUCUAAACAGUUCUUUGCAAUUUAAGAUCCCACACCUAAUUUAUUGGGAUUUUUUUUAGGUAUCUUAAAAUCCAGUCUCACUUAAAACCUCUAUUUUUAAG